CCUGAAUGACCUGUCUACGUACUUCCCUGCUGUGUCGCUCCGAAAGGGAUUGCUCUAGACGCCUGGGAAUAUGGCCACCCCACUGAGGAUUGAUCUUCCCCAUUCCUUCGCCACACCGCACAGGAGUGAGCCUGCCUGCCCUGAAGCUGACAAAUAUUAACGAUGUGUUUUCAAGAACAAUGGUAAAACAUUGGCUGGGUUCAGCCCAACUGAAAGUUGAACACUUUUGUACACUUGGGUAGCUGAGGGCUAAACGAAUUUCAGAUUUGCUUCCAAAAUAUAUAGCCCGCACCUUGCCUCAUGCAUCUAGAAGGCACAGAACUUAAUCUGGAUUUACCUGUACUGUGUUUGAGAUGCAUAUCAAGCCAACCAUCAUCAGGACCUGUUUAGGAAGACUCUGCUGUGUGCGAAGUCCCUAGCCGGCCACCUCCUAUUUACCUCGCUCUUAGGAAAAUCGUUUAGCUAUAGGAAAGAGUAGCUGCACCCUGCGAAGAAUCAUUAGAAGCGAUCUUUUCCGCCCGGCGGCCUGCGGAACAGCCAAGAGAUCCGAGGCCUCUUGCGCUGUCAGAACUCCCUCUCCUCUUCACGGCUCUGAGACCGCCACCACUAAGGCUUGGGGAGGCGAUCCCUAAGGGCGUACUUUGGAUGUUGAUGCUUUAAAAAAAAAAUUAAG